UACGGGGGGAGCAAGCGUUGUUCGGAUUUACUGGGCGUAAAGGGUGCGUAGGCGGCCUUAUAAGUAUGGUGUGAAAUCUCCCGGCUUAACUGGGAGGGUGCGCUAUAGACUGUGGGGCUAGAGUGUGGGAGAGGAAAGUGGAAUUCCUGGUGUAGCGGUGAAAUGCGUAGAUAUCAGGAGGAACGCCGGUGGUGUAAACGGCUUUCUGGACCAUAACUGACGCUGAGGCACGAAAGCGUGGGUAGCAAACAGG
rnacentral:rRNA from 1 species